rnacentral:rRNA from 1 species
GUUUGAUCCUGCCGGAGGCGACCGCUUUUGGAGUUCGAUUAAGCCAUGCGAGUCGAGAGCUUUCGGAGCUCGGCAUACUGCUCAGUAAUACAUGGAUAACCUGCCCUAUUGUCUGGAAUAACCUCGGGAAACUGAGAACAAAGCCGGAUAACCCACAAUGCCUGGAACGGUUUGUGGGUGAAGAUAGGAUGGGUCUGCGGCGUAUCAGGUCGUAGGGGGUGUAAUGGACCUCCUAGCCAUCGACGCGUACGGGUGUUGGGAGACAUAGCCCGGAGAUGGAUUCUGAGACACGAAUCCAGACCCUACGGGGUGCAGCAGGCGCGAAAACUUCACACUGCAGGAAACUGUGAUGAGGGAACUCCAAGUGCUAUCACUAUGUGGUAGCUUUUCUUAACUAUUAAUCGGUUUUGGAAUAAGGGCUGGGAAAGACCGGUGCCAGCCGCCGCGGUAAUACCGGCAGCUCAAGUGGUCGUCGCUUUUAUUGGGCCUAAAACGUCCGUAGCCUGUUUGGUAAAUCUGUGGGUAAAUCAACCAGCUUAACUGGUUGAAUUCUGCAGAGACUGCCAGACUAGGGACCGGGAGAGGUGUGGGGUACUCUAGGGGUAGGGGUAAAAUCCUGUCAUCCUUAGAGGACCACCAGUUGCGAAGGCGCCACACUGGAACGGAUCCGACGGUCAGGGACGAAGCCU